GCCCUACAGGAGGAAAGGGGCUGUGGGUAAGCCCCCCGCGGGUGGUCGACACCACCUUCCUGGUCUUCUGAAGACCUCAGUGGGAGAAGCGAAUUCCCAGGAACCUCGACUUGGGAAUGGAUGACCCUCUGGUCUGUAGUAAGGAGACGGCCAUUGUGGUGUCCCUAGACCCCCCCCAGGGGUCACACAAGGAAAUAUCAGGCGCAGGGUCUCAGGGAAAGCCUACUGGACAAAGCACUGGCCUGUGUCAUUGUGUCACUCUGCUCCACUUCUGCCAGAGAGAGAGGACGACACAUCGCCUCCCCAACCAGGACCACAGGGCCUCUGGGGGCAGCAAUGACCCUGACAUCAGCUGCAGCCACCUGCCCACCAGAGGCUGAGAAGUCCUCCCCUGGAAGACGCCACAGGCCGUCACUGUCCCUGCCAGUUGGUCCCUCUCUCCAGUCCCUGCGACCACCACUCUGCUGGCUGACCGACAGCUCUGCCCACUGUGGACACGUCAUAGGUAUUGACGCAGGUGCAUGUGGCCUGUUGGGACUGCUUCCUGCACCUACAGGGUGUGUCCAAGGUCCAGCCAUGUUCAGAAUGGGUCACGCCUUGGGCCUGGGACUGAGAAUUUCACAUGGCAUAGUUGUGUGUGGUUUGGGGAAAUUCCUGGAAAUGCAGGUGGGGGUCCCACCACCUAAGGCCUCAUAGUGCGACCGUGCUGUGGGCAGGGUCUGUAAGAGGCAAUGGGUUUAAAUAAGGGUGCUCCUGUGAGCACCACAGAGGAGAGCUGGACAUGGGCCAAGGCCACCAUGUGAGGUGACCUGGGCUGCUGUGGGGACCCCUGCUCUGCAGUUCCUGUGUGGACAUGGGUCUCAGGGCCCUGGAGUGUGGACCUAGGGGUGGAGCUGCUGGCCAUCAUCCAAAGCAGCUGUGCCACCUCCCUCUCCACCCGCAGCUCGUGAGGGGCCUGUCUGUCCCUGGCUGUGAAGCGGUCACCCUGUGGUUUUCAGGUGCCUGCAGCCGUUUCUGGGUCUUCUUCCUGAAGUCGUGUCUCUUCCCAUUUUCUCACUGGGUUAUUCGGGUGUUACUAUGGAGUCUCAAGAGCUCUGUCUUCUACACUCCAUGCACUGCGUUUCACCCCCGUGUGAUUGCAAAGGAUUCCCUGUUGGAAAUGGGCAGGUGUCCCUCUCUAACCCCAGAGGCACCCACAGCAGGGGACAGCCUCUGAUCCCUGGAAUUGCAGGGCUGAGCAGUGUAGGAACAGAGGCCACAGUGAUGAGGUAAGUCGCUGUCCCCUAAUGAGCCGUCCAUGGGCUUCUCCAAAGAGCACUGCUCCAAAUCCCCACCACCUCCACGCCGUCGGCCCAUGGAUUCCACAGGGUGGCCUACCCAGAGAGGAGCACCACUUUCCCAGGUUUGAGACUAAAAGCCAAAGAAAUCUGUUGCUCUGAAGCUCUGGAUGGUGGAGGUGAAUAGUGGACACACAUCAAAGUCCUCGAGGGACAGCAGGUCACUUGGAAUUGUGCUUGGCUGCCACACCCUGAUCAACUCAUCUAUGACUUCCUUCAGCCUCUUGAAAUCUGGAUAGAUCAUUCCAGAACUGCCCUCUCCCUCCCCAGAUUCCUGGGGGAGGGGGGAGGGCGCACAGGUGGUCUCCAUGGGGCUCUUUAUCUUCAUUCUCUGCUGCCACAGGUGGCCAGGCUUAUGCCAGCAGUACCCUCAUUGGGAUCUAGGACACCAGAUGCACCAUGUUCCUCCACUCACUAUUGGGGAGCAGCGUCUCUUCUGGGGGCUAAGAAGUGUUCUAUGGUAACCUUGCACAUCAGUCAUGAAGGCUCAUGGCCUCGUCCGCAGCAUGGAGCCGAGCAGGUGAGCUCCUUUCUCCUAGCUGCCUCCCCAGCAUCCCCACCACUGGAACCUCCUCCCCCAGACUCAGCCCAAGGCUCCUGCCAUGACCAGGCCUGGACUCACUGACAUGGCCAAACGUGUCCCCAAGUUCAUGCUGAAGUUCUCCAAUGUGGUCCUGAGGGCUCUACCCCAACAUCUGGGUGCCUGCCCUUAGAAACAGGGCCAGGGGAGUCUGGCCUCUGCUUCCCUCUGAGGACACAGCUAGACAGCGCCAUCUUGAAACCAGACACCCAAUCAGCUGGCGCCUGGACCUUGGCAUUCACACACCCAGAACAGUGAGCCGCGGGUUUCCACUGCUUUUACACACCCAGCACACUCACCUUUUUGGAAGUUCUCUUCAAUCACAGUACUCCAUUUGUGGAACUCCUUUCGCAUCCUGGUAAACAGCCGCAUUUCUUCUGGCCCUACAACUUCCUCGGCUUGUACUAUAGCAUUGAUGUCCUGAUUGAACUCAUUGAUUUUCUGCAAAUAAGGACAACAUCAGUGUGAGCAGACCUUCAAACAACAGACGCCAGGGUGUUUGCAGGCCUGUGGGUGUUGGGCUUGGAUGAGCCUUUCCCCCUCCUGGGCGACCCUGGAUUAAAGGGGGUGAGGCAUUUCAGGUACCAGGAAGCCCCACCCUUCCCUUCCACCUUCAGUGGAGGAGAGGACUGAGACCUCCUCCCUGCUACCCAGCCUGCACACACCCUCCACUCCCUGGCCACUGCCUCAACCCUGUCCCUUUUAGGACCAAGUGGGCAGAGGGCCGUGGAUAGCCUCAUGGGAGUGAGGACAGAAGCGGAUGAGGCUCAGCGUCCCCGUGUGGGCACCAGGCGGAAUCUGCCCCACGAGGCCCCGGGGAAUACUCACGUCUAUCAGGAAGAAGGUUUUCAAGCUCUCCUCCUCUGGGACGUCCACGCCAAAGUAUUUCAACUCCUCGGUUACUUUCUGGAUAUUUUCCUUUAUUUGAUUUUCCAGCAGUGGCAGGGAUUUCUGGGAAAAUGAUGGGAUAUACAAAUAUGGACGCGGGAAAAAAAAAUGAGGCCACAGGCCUGCUCACCAGAGUAGCUGCAAGGUACAUGUGACGUCCUGAUGUCCUCUAAAGACUUUCCUGUGCAGAGAGACACACUGGGGCAUCCCCUUCCACCAGGGCUGCCCACAGCCUGCUCCUGCACACAAGCCCAUGAGCCGCACAGAGACGCCCACUGAACAUGAUUCCUGGCCACCUAGGAGCCACCAAGGUGCCACUGCUUCUGCAUCAUGUUCCACGAGCUCUGGUGGUGCAGGGGUGCAGACAGAUCCACUGUCUGUCGUUGGAACAACUUGAGAUUCCUCAACAUUUAGAUGUUGUUCUCAGCAGGGAGAAGCUAGCAGGGACUUCUGUUCCUAACAGGUGGCUAAAGUUAUCCUACUACCCGGUAUAUACCCAAGGGACUUAAAAUCAGUGAACUACAGGGACACAGCCACAUCAAUGUUUGGAGCAGCUCAAUUCACAAUAGCUAAACUAUGAAUCAACCCAGGUGCCCUUCAACAGAUGAAUGGAUAAAGAAAAUGUGGUGUAUGUACACAGUGGAACAUUACUCAGCCAUAUCGAAGAGUCAAUUAUGGCAUUGACCACUAAAGAAACGGAACUGGAGAUUAUCCUACUAAGUGAAAUAAGCCAAUCCAAAAAAAGCAAAACAAAACAGAGGGCAAACAUUCUGACAUGUGGAUGUUAACACCCAAUAAAUGAGGAGGGAGGGGGAAAGAGAAGUUCAUUGAUUUAAACAAAAGUGAAUCAAGGAAAGAAAUGAAAGAUGACCAUAGGGAUGACUUUAGAGAGAAUCAGACAUAAUUUACUACAUUCAUAUACAUAAAUACAUGACCAGUGCAAUUCCACAUCAUUACAACCAUAGGAAUGGGAAGUUAUAGUUCACGUAUGUAAAAUAUAUCAAAAUGCACUCCACCCUCAUAUAUAUAUGUAAAAACAACACAUAAAAAAUGGACUGGUUAAAAAAGGGGGGGAAUCUGAAGCAAAUACCAAAAAAUCUACCAAGUUCGUAUAUAAGUGUCUAUUAACUGUUUUGUAUAUACUUGAUAUAUUUCAUAUGUAAAGAAAUCACAUCACGUCUGAAGCAAAAUCAGAAAUAAAUGCAAAAGUCCUAUUUAAAAAUUAAAAAUAAAUACAAUAAAAUACAAGGUGACUGAGUGCCCCCAGGUCCCCGCCCCUGCAGCUUGGAGGGUGCAGCCAGGCCCUCAGCAGCCUCCCUCACACGCGCCCAUGACUGGCAAUGUGAGGAGGGAGACUCAGAGUCCGAAGCCAGCUGAUGGGCCUCAGACUCACCUUGGGCCUCGAGGACAGUGACCUAGCUAAGAAAAAUUGAGCUUGGGUUUAGGAGUGUGACCCAGUGCAGGGGCAAAGAUAAGUCCCAGGCAGCUCUAAGUGGGCAGUCUGCUAAGGGAUGAGCUCUUUCUGCAUGACGCUGGCCCAGAGAGCUCCACCCUCAUGACCAGGUCCACCAGACAUCACCCUGCUCUCCACCUGCACCCUGGGACUUUGGGAAAGACCUUGAACGCUGGUGGGCAGCAUGGCAAGAUCUCUACUGAGACUCUGUGCCCACAUGGGAGGCAGCUCUCCAACAGGGCUGCUGCCCCAGUCCACACUGGCUGAGGGCCCCUAACUCUGAGAAUUACAGUGGUGUGAGCGAGACACUCUGCCAGGUCCGACAGAAUCCAACACUCUUCUCCCUGGAGACCCACUGGGAACCCAGCUCCUAAGGAUACCCACACAUCAAACCCCAGGACAGAUGGACUCACAGCCAGGGUGCCACCCACAUCUGCUGUGAGAGGCAGCAGAAUCCCAACACCAAGGCUUCUCGUGCUGGAGUCACCAACGGCAAAGACAGCACGAUGUGUGCCGAGAAGCCUUGAGAGGGCUGGGUACAGGACCUCCACAGCACUGUGGACGGCUGGGUGCCAGGGACCCCUCAGAGAGGACAUGGGGCUCUGCUUACACAGAUGUGUGCAAUGAGCUCAGUGGUCAGUCUCUCCGCCAGGCAGGGAAUCGUGGCCUUUCCUUCGUCCAGCAGAGCACUGGGAGAGAGAGCAAGAGGGACAUCCGUGGUCACGUGGACAGCACAUCAGAGUCUGCAUGUGCAGAUGGGUGGCCGGGACAGACUCAGGCGCUUCCAACCGAACACAAGGGCAUACAGCUGGUACCCAAGCAAUGCUCACAGCUGGAUCAGACCUGGUUGCCUGUGGGCAGCUCAGGUAUGUCCACAGAGGCUGGAACUGUCCCUUCCAGCUCAUCAAAUAAAUGUGUCUCAAGACAUCCAACUGCAGAUUUGGUCUCCAAAACAUACACGUGUGCACCUCAGACACGCUUCCGUAGCACACACACACCCUUCCGUGUGUAACAGGCGUGACUACACAGCACCUGUGGGGACAGGACUGCACACAAACAUGGUGCCUAUUUACAUACACACGUGACAACUGGGGAACCCAGAGACACAGCUGCCCCAGGAUGAGAACUGCAACCAUGUUCACGUGGAGGAGGGAGGCCACAGAGUCUCCUUGUAAUGCCAAACUUGGGCCCACAGGGUGAGGUAUUGCAGGUCUCUGACAUUGGUAGUCCCUGAGGGUGGCAGGCGGCAGGGGCUGGAGACCCUCACCAAGCCUGACUGUCCACAAGCAUCCAUUUUUCCCAACGUGUAUGAAACAUGCCAUGUUGUUUGACUUUUAGCUAUUUAGAGUGCACACUUCAGAGACGCCAUGACUUUGACACUGUGGCUCAGCACGGCCACCUCCCACCUCCAGAACUUUCCUGUCUUGGAACGUUGCUCCAUUAACCGCCAAGCCCCAUUCCCACCUCCUCCAAGGCCUGGCCAGUUCCUCUCCUGUGGCUGUGAGUUUCCUGGCUCCAGGGACCUCGUCCAGUGCAGACACACGGCCUUGGUCUGGUGUCACAGUCUUUCCCUUGGCACAGUGUCUUCAAGGUCCAGCCACGUGGCAGCAGGAGGGGGCUUCCUGCCUUUCUGAGCCUGGACGGGAGCGUCCACCUCCUGCCCACAGCUACCCUGCUUCUGCACUCCUCGCUCCUCGGAUGUUGGGUGUCUCUCACCUUCUGGCUGCUGUGGAACGCACUGCAGCUGCCACUCUGUGCAUGCACCUGGGACAUCCUGUCACUCCAUGGGACGCCCGGAAGCCCCCCGGGGAACUGAAGGCAAUAAGGCUGAGACUCCACCUGGCUCUUGUUUGCGAUCCCACCAGCGUGUCAGUCAGUGCUGCCUUCUGAAGAGGCCUCAGCGGACACAGGCACUUCUGCACCUGCGACUGCAGAUGCCGGGGCGAGGUCACAGGGACGCGCAUGGUCACCUUUCAUGGCUAAGUUAACUACAGCUGAUGUCCGUUUUGGUCUGCUAGUUAGGGAAGACCCCAUUCAGGCUUCCCCAGGUGUUCAACACAACCCCAUGCCCCUGACUGGCAGCGACCUCUCUGGCUCCUUGGGUGAACUGUGCGUUGGUCAGUGUCAAACACGCAGGCACCUGUGUCCGACCUGGGCUCUCUGUUUGUCUCUGUUGUUCCAUCCGUGUUUCUGCUCUGGUUCCAGCCCCAUACGCUUAGAUGACCGCAGUAAGCAGCCUCCUUAUUCCCUUAAAUUAGGGGGCAAGGCUGUGUGCGUCCCUUUCCUCUCAGGACAGCUCCGCAGUCAGUGCCGGGGGCACACAGGCUGAUGCACACUCACUCCCAUGUGAGCGCGCGCACACACACACACACACACACGCUGCCAACACCUGCUUCAGCCCAGCCACUCUCCCCGGCAGGGACGGCCACCUUGCUUGGGGCUGGCCUUGGGGAAGCGCAGCUGACCAACCUGAACUGAGGGUGGUCCUCGAAGAAGGCCUUCUCCUUCUGCAGGGCCUCGGCCAGGCUCAGCCGUGACUGGAUGUCGUGCUGGCCGCGGCACUUGACGAUCAUGUAGCCCUUCUUCAGGUGGCACACGAGGUUCCUCACCACGUCCACCACGGUGUCUUCAGUGCCUUUGUCCACCAGGUCGGGCUUCGUCAGAAUUCCUGCCAGCCAGGGACUGGGAUCAGAGACCGUGCAGUGUCCCAAGGCAGAGGGAAGAACCAGCCCCCAGGCCUCCUCCCAGCCCAGGGCCAGCAGACAAGGGCCCCUACAGAACCCACGAGCAAGCUGGAGUCCGAGUCCACAAAGACUUGAAGGGAAGGCCUCAGGGAAACAGGGGGCCAUGCUAGAGGGGUGGCCCUUCCCCGGCUCCUGCACCCAGGCCCAUGGAGGGACAGGCCGUGUUCUGUCCGUCCUUCACCAUGCACAGACCAGCCUGGCUGCCCUCCAGAGAUCUCAACUGGGAGCUUCUCCUUCCUGUUCCUGCCCACCCUCGGAGCCCAGGGCGCCUUCCCAAAGGGACAUGGGUCAGGAGGCCAUGAGGUGGCCAAUAAGGAUCAACGUGGCUCCCUUCCUCCAGACCCAGUGGACAUGGAACCUACACCUGGGGGGGUUCCUGAGCCACGUGCAGGUACCCUCGGCCAGCCAGCCUCUCCCCUGGACUCAGGGAUGUGGUCCCACCGUCGGCUCCCUGCUUCUCACCUAUGGUCCUGUCUCCGUCAGGGUCCACCUCCUGCGCCAUGCUCAGUGCCUCCGUGGUGGCGAUGUCCACGUUGCUGGGGACCACCACCAGGUUGAUGGUCUCCUGCUUCUGGAUAUACUUCCUGAUGAGUCGCUUGAUCUAUAGGAAAAAGAGGCUGUGACUUCCCAGCACUGGGCUGGACAAGCAGGAGACACAUUGGGGUGGACAAGCAGGGGACAGGCCCAGACCAUGCACUUGCACUCAGGCACUCAGUGUCUGCAACCUCCUCCGUGGGCAAGUGAACCUGCGAGCACAACCCCGUGGCUCUGCCAAGCCAGACUCAGGGCAGCGGUGCCUGCGGACUGUGGAGCCCCAGGUCAGGGAAGGCUGUGAGGCUGUGGCUGCCUACUGUCCCUGAGGCCUCAGAUCUGAGGGUCCCAGUGGAUUGCAAGACACCAGACCUACUGCCUGACUCACUUCCUGAGUCUUCCUUCCUGGGGUGAGAGCCACGGAGGCCAUGUGUCACCUCCUCUGCGCCUUCACCCUCUCUGCCCACUAGGAGCCCUCUAAGAGAUGGCAGGGUGCGUGCCACACAAAACUUCACCGUGACCCAACCAAGGCUCGGCUGAACACACAGAGAUGAUGCCUUCCUGCAUUCUGAGGCCCAAAGUCCCUUCUUCUCUAAGGAAGGGGACGAGGUGACGCUCUGAUGUCUGAAAUGCUCAAGGAGCGUCCAGAGCUCCCGACCAUGGACUCUUGGAGGCUACAGAAGUGCAGGCUGUGCUCCCACAGGCAGGAAGGACAGAGCUGCCUGUCUGCAUGGUCGUCUCCGUCCACUGGGGAUCGUGACACUGGCUCUCCACUGCCACUCGCCUCCACACGCCCCCUUCAACCAGGACCUGGACUCCCGGCUGCACUCAUGCAGCGCCCCCUCAUCCGGGGCACAGGCAGGUGGAGGCUGGAGUCUCACCUGGCGCCCGAUGUCAGUGGGCUGAUUGCCAACAGCCACCCUGGUAAUGCCAGGAAGGUCGAUGAGGGUCAGAUCCGGGACGCUGGGGGAGCUGACCUCCAGGCUGAUGAGCUCAUCGCUGAUGCCCAGCCCUGUCCCGGCGAUGAGGUUCUGGGCUGUGGAGAGGAGAGGACACGGGGUGCAGCUGAAGGGCGGUGCCCCAUUUAGGGAGCCUGCCACAGCAGCUCUGGCUCGGGGGUCCUGGGGGGCAGCAGGUUUGGAGCCCCUUCCCCUUUGGAGAUUGGACCCCAUGUUUCCUCAAGAGGUGACUCGGUACUUUCCCUGCUGUGCCCAGGACUGUCUAUAGAGGGACCUGGGACAUCUCCACUGGGCCAGCCUGGAACCCUUCCUGAUGGCAUGCCGUGACCCUCCCCUGGGUGUGGGAGGAGAGUCACAGAGAGGAAGGUGAGGACACCAGGGGACCCAGACCAGAGAUGGGAACUUGUUAGGGCACUAGGAACCGGUGAGUUCUGUUAGGAGCCUGCUUUUCUCUGGACCCCUCUCGGUAUUGACACAUUUAGAAUGGGAGAAGGUUCCUGAGGGCCACCUGGUGCUUCUGAAGGUAGACACCAUCUCUCUGGAAUGUCUGUUACAGUCUAGAACAUGGCUGCAAAUAAUGACGUCGGCAUGUGUGGCCAAGGCAGCUCACUGCUCCUGCAGUACCCAGGUCCCCAAGUCGUGUGUGUGACCCUAACAUGAGGCAGAGGAGGUGCAGUAGCUCUGGGGUGGGUGAAGGGAGGGCUCCCGAGGGAGCAGGCCCAAGGCAGGGGAGACGGGGACCCUCUGCACUAGCUGGGCCUGGUGUCCAGGCAAGACCCCGGGCACUCACCUUUAUUGAUUUCCCCUUCCACCUGGGAAGCCUCUGAGAGCUCCAACUCCAUGUCCAGGUAACUGACCUUGGCCCUCCACUCAUCCUCCUGCCCCAGUUUCUUCAUCCUCAGCACAAGAGGGCACCUGGUGACGAUACCUAGGAGACCACACUAAUGUCAGUCCUCUGCUCUGCUCUGUAGGCUGGAGGGGCCAUGCACGCACAGAUCAACAAGGUUGAUGCCAUCAUCAGGGGAGAUGCCCAGGCAGAAGCCUCUGGACUCAAAACCCUGCAGUGACCUCAUGCACUGGGGCAUCGCGUCUGUGGUGACCUCAGACAUGAGCUUUUGGAACAGUCACCCCAGUGACUUUCUCUCAUUCAUCUAAACCCAUGAACACUUCGGGGUUUCAACCCAAUGUACUGCCUUCAGCUCAGGUGACAAUCUCCCAAACACAGGCAAGCGGCCCUCCCUGCUCCUGAGCCACCCCCCACUCACUACUCCCCCAGGACACAUUCCCGUUCAGAAGGAGCGUCUAUAAGCCCUCUCUGAAUCCUGGCUGUCUAAGAGCUCAGCCUCUGAGCUCUCACAGGCUCCCCUGUCCAUGCAAGUCAAAGGCAUCACUCUAAGAUGCCCAUCAUUGUCCCCCCAGCUGGCCAGUAACCUGGUGGGAUGAGCUCAGGAGAGACACCCAGGUGCACUGUGUUCUGGGCAGGGACACUAUCCAUUCAGACUCUCCACCAACUGCAGACCCCAUACAAUCCACAAAGGCGUGCAACCAGACGGUGUAAGAGACAGAGAGCCCUUCACCCCAAAUGCACAGGCUGAGCCAAUCACCCCGAUGUGACUGCCUUUGCAGAUGGGGCCACUGAAGAGGCAAUUAGAGUUGACAGAUGUCAUCAGGGGUCACAACAGGAAAGUCCUGACCCAUGUGAUUGGCAUCUUUGUAAAAUUACGUGGAGACCCCAGGAAUCUUGCCCAGAGAAGAGGCCACGUGAGGUUAGGGCACAGUGAAGAGGUGGCCACCUGCAGGCCCAGAAGGACCUCAGGAGAACCCACCUUCACCUUCCACCUGCAGCCUCCAGACUGUGGAGAAUACAGAACUGCUCUGGGAGCCACCAGGUGCCCGAGGACAAUAGUUAGAAAUGAGUUCUCACCACUGCCCCUGGGGAGAGCCACUCCCGACAGAGCCUCCAGCACAGAGCUCUUGCCCGAGCUCUGGUCCCCAAUGACGGCGAUGGCAGGCAGGGCCAAAUCCCGCUCCACGCCCAGGGCCCGCAGGGAGUCGAUGAGGUCGAUGCAGGGGCGCACCUUCUCCUCAUACUGCCUGCAGAGGUUGAACUCGGACCCCUGGAGAAGGCCAAGAGGACACUCUGUUAUGUGCAGGUCACGCUCCACCAAAGAUGGCAAUGUGGACAGGAGUAAUAUAGGGUCCCUGGAAUCCCACCAAGGGGAGGGGGGAUACCUGACGAAGUCCUGCACGCACCCCUCCAUCGAAUGCAAAACAUAAACCAAAGGUCCAAAACCCUCAUAAAGACCCCAAAACAGGAAAUACAAAACAAACUACAUCCAUGCACCUUAGAGUCAACUUGUUGUAGCACAGGGCCAAAGAGGAAAUGCUAAAAGGGCUAGCACCUGAAAAACCCUCUACAGAGGAUCAAAGACGGGCUAGACAGCAGCUUCCUACCACCCACCAACCAGGUGGGGAGACACUGCUUCUGGUGCAGGUUGGUUUAUUUGGUGCUGGGUUUCAGUCCAAGGCUUCCCACUCUACUGAGCACAGCCCUAACCCUGGGCUGUACCCUCCUUCUCUGACAGCCUUAACACACUCAGAAAACCCCAGGAACGUGGGAUUCUAGACCAACCAAAAAAGAAGCAGGAUGAGCAUGGCUUGGGCGGUGGGUGACCCAGGGACGGCUGGGGCAGCGUGUCUCCCGCCAGCACAGCUGGCCUUCAUCUAGAAGCAGGCAGGAACCAGGCUGGUGACUCUGUUCUAUUUUAAGGAGGAUUCAUUAGGCUGCUAUUCUUUUUUUUUUUUUUUAGAAGUUGCGUGCCUUGGCAGGACGUGAUGGCCAGUGUGGGAUUCCGACAAGGCAACCUCAUCCUGCUCUGCACUCUCCCCUAGGAUGGUUCCAUGAAAAGUGAUAAACACUGCAGUGCAGGUGGCCUCCGGGAGCACAAGGGUUCCAGAGGGCCAGAGACAACCCCCGGGCCAUUGACGCUGAUCCUGUCCCCAUGCUACGUCUCUAAUUCUCCAGGUCUCAGCUGCAGAGGGCCUGAGUACGUACAGUUCCCACACCUUCCAGGCUCUGCGGAUGCUGUGGCCGGGGGCGCAUUUGAGAACCACCGUCACUCUUACCUUGAAGUGGACGUGUGGGUUCACAGACGUACACCCACACCCAGACUAGAAAAGACCAGCUGCUUCCCAGGCAGGUGGGGAGAGUAGAGGUUACAAUUUGGACCUGUCUCCCGGAGGCACAUGUGGUGAAGCCUUGGUUCCCAGCUUGGAAUUACUGGGAGCUAGUUUGUAGUAUAACAGGAGAGGCCUGGGGAGACGUAGGGGCCAGACUUCCUCUCUCUUUUGUCUCCCAGCCUUUGAGGGGAGCACCGUGUGUGGCAAGGCUCCCUGGCGUGCUCUGACACCACAUCUCAAGGAAACAGUAAGUUGUCAUGAACUGAAACCUCUGCCACCAUGAACUGAGUCAGUCUUGUCCCUCCUGGAGCAGGACAUUUGGGUCCUUGCACGCUCUGUUGGGGCCCAGGUGCAACCAAGUGGGUUAUCUCAAUGUGGCUGGGCGCCAUGUUGUUCUGGGAGACCACGGGAUGCAGAUGGGCUGGUGUAGGGACAGGGCUGGCAUCCACACCCAGGGCGCACUGUGCUGCCCCUGUCUCACCACGGGUCAGUGUGGAGGUCUCACUAGGACACUCCAUCCCUAGGGAAGCCACGUGGUCUCCACAGUGUAGAACGGAGACCUUUUGGGGGCGAAGCAGACAUGGGGUGAGGACUGAGGCGCCCUGGAGACGGAUCCCAACACUGGCCCUUUCAGCCGGGUGAUGUGACAGGUUCUCCUCCCUCCACAGUCCGGCUUCCCAGCUCUAAGGAGGAGUCACGACAGUACUCGCUCUCGAGGCCCUGGGGAGGAGUCAGGGCAGCUCAAGCCAGGUCCUUGGUGGGGGGGGCUGGGGUCUUUGCUAUUCCGGGUUUGAAAUGCUGGCCUGUCGCCUGCUCUGGUGGACUCCAUUUCCAAGCAAUACUCAACAGUUGUCCAAUGGUGUCAGCAGCAGUGUUGAAGUCACAGGCAAAUGAGAAGGCCCACCCGAUGCCUCCUCUCCUUACAGACCUGCUUAUGUUUCCCUCCCAGACGCCCCUCCUGCUGGGUUAUAAGUCUUAGGGUGGGGAUGGGAAGGACUCACACCCACUGUGACGGUCAUCUUCCUGUUACUGUGUCAAAAUUCCCAAAAUAAAGCAUCCCUCUGAACAGA